CAGUCGCCGCGGGAAUACGUAGGUGGCAAGCGUUGUCCGGAAUUAUUGGGCGUAAAGGGCUCGCAGGCGGUUUCUUAAGUCUGAUGUGAAAGCCCCCGGCUCAACCGGGGAGGGUCAUUGGAAACUGGGUAACUGGAGUGCAGUAGAGGGUAGUGGAAUUUCCGGUGUAGCGGUGAAAUGCGUAGAUAUCUGGAGGAAUACCGGUGGCGAAGGCGGCCCCCUGGACAAAGACUGACGCUCAGGUGCGAAAGCGUGGGGAGCAAACAGGAUUAGAUACCCGGGUAGUCCCUGUCUCUUAUAC
rnacentral:rRNA from 1 species